rnacentral:misc_RNA from 1 species
UCUGAAAACGGUUGUUGGUAC